GGCCCAUCAGCUAGUUGGUGAGGUAAGAGCUCACCAAGGCGAAGACGGGUAGCUGGUCUGAGAGGAUGAUCAGCCACACUGGAACUGAGACACGGUCCAGACUCCUACGGGAGGCAGCAGUGGGGAAUAUUGCGCAAUGGGCGAAAGCCUGACGCAGCCACGCCGCGUGAGCGAUGAAGGCCUUCGGGUCGUAAAGCUCUGUGGGGAGAGAAGAAUAAAGCCUGUGAAGAAUGGGCCUUGACGGUAUCUCCUUAGCAAGCACCGGCUAACUCCGUGCCAGCAGCCGCGGUAAUACGGAGGGUGCAAACGUUGCUCGGAAUCAUUGGGCGUAAAGCGCACGUAGGCGGCGAAGCAAGUCGGGUGUGAAAGCCCUGGGCUCAACCCAGGAAGUGCAUUCGAAACUAUUUCGCUUGAAUCUCGGAGGGGGUCAGAGAAUUCCCGGUGUAGAGGUGAAAUUCGUAGAUAUCGGGAGGAAUACCAGUGGCG
rnacentral:rRNA from 1 species